rnacentral:rRNA from 1 species
CUUGGCGACCAUAGCGCUUUGGACCCACCUGACUCCAUGCCGAACUCAGUAGUGAAACGAAGCAGCGCCGAUGGUAGUGUGGGGUCUCCCCAUGUGAGAGUAGGACAUCGCCAAGC